rnacentral:rRNA from 1 species
AGAGUUUGAUCCUGGCUCAGGAUGAACGCUGGCGGCGUGCUUAACACAUGCAAGUCGAACGAACCUUCGGGUUAGUGGCGGACGGGUGAGUAACGCGUGAGAAUCUGCCCUCAGGAGGGGGAUAACGGUUGGAAACGACCGCUAAUACCCCAUAUGCCGAAAGGUGAAACGAAUUUCGCCUGAGGAUGAGCUCGCGUCUGAUUAGCUAGUUGGUGAGGUAAUGGCUCACCAAGGCUUCGAUCAGUAGCUGGUCUGAGAGGAUGAUCAGCCACACUGGGACUGAGACACGGCCCAGACUCCUACGGGAGGCAGCAGUGGGGAAUUUUCCGCAAUGGGCGAAAGCCUGACGGAGCAACGCCGCGUGAGGGACGAAGGCCUCUGGGCUGUAAACCUCUUUUCUCAAGGAAGAAGAUAUGACGGUACUUGAGGAAUAAGCCACGGCUAAUUCCGUGCCAGCAGCCGCGGUAAUACGGGAGUGGCAAGCGUUAUCCGGAAUUAUUGGGCGUAAAGCGUCCGCAGGCGGCCUUUCAAGUCUGCUGUUAAAGCGUGGAGCUUAACUCCAUUAUGGCAGUGGAAACUGAUAGGCUUGAGUAUGGUAGGGGCAGAGGGAAUUCCCGGUGUAGCGGUGAAAUGCGUAGAUAUCGGGAAGAACACCAGUGGCGAAGGCGCUCUGCUGGGCCAUUACUGACGCUCAUGGACGAAAGCCAGGGGAGCGAAAGGGAUUAGAUACCCCUGUAGUCCUGGCCGUAAACGAUGAACACUAGGUGUCGGGGGAAUCGACCCCUUCGGUGUCGUAGCUAACGCGUUAAGUGUUCCGCCUGGGGAGUACGCACGCAAGUGUGAAACUCAAAGGAAUUGACGGGGGCCCGCACAAGCGGUGGAGUAUGUGGUUUAAUUCGAUGCAACGCGAAGAACCUUACCAGGGUUUGACAUCCUGCGAACCUCUUAGAAAUUUGAGGGUGCCUUCGGGAAUGCAGUGACAGGUGGUGCAUGGCUGUCGUCAGCUCGUGUCGUGAGAUGUUGGGUUAAGUCCCGCAACGAGCGCAACCCACGUUUUUAGUUGCCAGCAUUUAGUUGGGCACUCUAGAAAGACCGCCGGUGAUAAACCGGAGGAAGGUGUGGAUGACGUCAAGUCAUCAUGCCCCUUACACCCUGGGCUACACACGUACUACAAUGCUACGGACAAAGGGCAGCAAACUCGCGAGAGCUAGCAAAUCCCAUAAACCGUGGCUCAGUUCAGAUCGUAGGCUGCAACUCGCCUACGUGAAGUAGGAAUCGCUAGUAAUCGCAGGUCAGCAUACUGCGGUGAAUACGUUCCCGGGCCUUGUACACACCGCCCGUCACACCAUGGAAGUUGGCCAUGCCCGAAGUCGUUACUCCAACCCUUGUGGAGGAGGACGCCGAAGGUGGGGCUAAUGACUGGGGUGAAGUCGUAACAAGGUAGCCGUACCGGAAGGUGCGGCUG